rnacentral:rRNA from 1 species
CAGUAGCCGCGGUAAUACGAAGGGUGCAAGCGUUACUCGGAAUUACUGGGCGUAAAGCGUGCGUAGGUGGUGGUUUAAGUCCGUUGUGAAAGCCCUGGGCUCAACCUGGGAAUUGCAGUGGAUACUGGGUCACUAGAGUGUGGUAGAGGAUAGUGGAAUUUCCGGUGUAGCAGUGAAAUGCGUAGAGAUCGGAAGGAACAUCUGUGGCGAAGGCGAAUAUCUGGGCCAACACUGACACUGAGGCACGAAAGCGUGGGGAGCAAACAGGAUUAGAGACCCCGGUAGUCCCUGUCUCUUAUAC